rnacentral:snRNA from 1 species
GUGCUUGCUUUAGCAGUACAUAUACUAAAACUGGAAAAAUACAGAGAAGAUUAGCAUGACCUCUGUGCAAGGAUGAUAUGCAAAUUUGUGAAAUGUUCAACUUUUUA